CCGUGGAAACACGGGGUCAGUUCGGCUGGACCUUCACAGGUGGUGCAUGGCUGUCGUCAGCUCGUGUCGUGAGAUGUUGGGUUAAGUCCCGCAACGAGCGCAACCCCCGUCGCAUGUUGCCAGCAUUUAGUUGGGGACUCAUGCGAGACUGCCGGUGACAAACCGGAGGAAGGUGGGGAUGACGUCAAGUCAUCAUGCCCCUUAUGUCCAGGGCUACACACGUGCUACAUUGGCGCGUACAGAGGGCUGCGAUACCGCGAGGUGGAGCGAAUCCCUCAAAGCGUGUCUCGGUUCGGAUUGCAGGCUGAAACCCGCCUGCAUGAAGGCGGAGUUGCUAGUAAUCGCGGAUCAGCAUUGCCGCGGUGAAUACGUUCCCGGGCCUUGUACACACCGCCCGUCACACCACGGAAGCAAGCAACACCCGAAGCCGGUGGCCUAACCCUUUGGGAGGGAGCCGUCGAAGGUGGGGCUCGUGACUGGGGUGAAGUCGUAACAAGGUAACCGU
rnacentral:rRNA from 1 species